rnacentral:misc_RNA from 1 species
AAAAAAAAAAAAAAGGGAAGAAGAUUUAGAACAGAAGAUCAACUGCUACUACUGCCUGCUGGUGGGUUUCAAAAUCGAACCAAGUAUGUUUAUCUUUCUCCUUCUCAUUCUUUCCUUGUCUCCUUCUUAUACUUCUCUCUCUCCUCCACGCCACCCAUUUGGGUUUUUCUUUCUCUUUCUUUAUCUUCCCUCCUCUCCUUCUCUCUCUCUCUCUCCCACUCGGGUUUUUCUCUUUCUUUAUCUUACUCAAAUUAGAGCAAUGCUUGCUGACACUAGCCUAGGAGAAGUAAGCCCUCCAUGUAAUGAUUCCACAAGA